UACGGAGGGGGCGAGCGUUAUUCGGAAUUAUUGGGCGUAAAGGGCGCGUAGGCGGCUUGGUAAGUCAAAGGUGAAAUCCCUCGGCUCAACCGAGGAAUUGCCUUUGAAACUGCCUGGCUUGAGGCCGGGAGGGGGUAGCGGAAUUCCCAGUGUAGCGGUGAAAUGCGUGGAUACUGGGAGGAACACCGGUGGCGAAGGCGGCUACCUGGACCGGUUCUGACGCUGAUGCGCGAAAGCGUGGGGAGCAAACAGG
rnacentral:rRNA from 1 species